rnacentral:rRNA from 1 species
UACGUAGGGUGCGAGCGUUAAUCGGAAUUACUGGGCGUAAAGCGUGCGCAGGCGGUUUUGUAAGCCAGAUGUGAAAUCCCCGGGCUUAACCUGGGAAUGGCAUUUGGGACUGCAAGGCUCGAGUGCGGCAGAGGAGACUGGAAUUCCUGGUGUAGCAGUGAAAUGCGUAGAUAUCAGGAGGAACACCUGUGCUGUAGACAGCUUACUGGACCACUUCUGACGCUGAGACACGAAAGCGUGGGUAGCAAACAGG